rnacentral:rRNA from 1 species
AGAGUUUGAUCCUGGCUCAGAAUGAACGCUGGCGGCGUGCUUAACACAUGCAAGUCGAACGAGAAAUCUGUAGCUUGCUACGGAGAGUAAAGUGGCGAACGGGUGAGUAACACGUGAGUAAUCUACCCUCAAAUUCGGGAUAACGUUGCGAAAGCGACGCUAAUACCGGAUGUGGUUUUAUGUGCGAAGGCAGAUAAAACUAAAGUUGGCCAAUAGGAAUAAGCUAAUGUUUGAGGAUGAGCUCGCGUACCAUUAGUUAGUUGGCAGGGUAAAAGCCUACCAAGACAGCGAUGGUUAGCUGGUCUGAGAGGAUGAUCAGCCACACUGGAACUGAUACACGGUCCAGACUCCUACGGGAGGCAGCAGUGAGGAAUUUUGCGCAAUGGGGGAAACCCUGACGCAGCAACGCCGCGUGAGUGAAGAAGGCCUUCGGGUUGUAAAGCUCUGUUAAGAGGGAAGAAAGUAUUGUGCAUAAAUAGUGCAUGGUAUUGACGGUACCUUUAGAGGAAGCAUCGGCUAACUCCGUGCCAGCAGCCGCGGUAAUACGGAGGAUGCGAGCGUUAUUCGGAAUCACUGGGCGUAAAGGGCGCGUAGGCGGCUAUGUAAGUCGAUUGUGAAAGCCCAUAGCUUAACUAUGGAAGUGCAGUCGAAACUAUGUAGCUUGAGUAUAGGAGAGGAAAGCGGAAUUCCUGGUGUAGAGGUGAAAUUCGUAGAUAUCGGGAGGAACACCGGUGGCGAAGGCGGCUUUCUGGACUAAUACUGACGCUGAGGCGCGAAGGUGUGGGUAGCAAACAGGAUUAGAUACCCUGGUAGUCCACACAGUAAACGGUGAAUACUAGGUGUAGCGGGGAUUAACCUGCUGUGCCGGAGCAAACGCAAUAAGUAUUCCGCCUGGGAAGUACGGCCGCAAGGCUAAAACUCAAAGGAAUUGACGGGGGCCCGCACAAGCGGUGGAGCAUGUGGUUUAAUUCGACAGCGCGAAGAACCUUACCUGGGCUUGACAUCUUAGGAACCUACUUGAAAGAGUGGGGUGCCUUCGGGAGCCUAAAGACAGGUGCUGCAUGGCUGUCGUCAGCUCGUGUCGUGAGAUGUUGGGUUAAGUCCCGCAACGAGCGCAACCCUUAUCUUUAGUUGCCAACAGUAAGAUGGGAACUCUAGAGAUACUGCCUGGGUUAACUAGGAGGAAGGUGGGGAUGACGUCAAGUCCUCAUGGCCCUUACGCUCAGGGCUACACACGUGCUACAAUGGUCUGUACAAAGGGUUGCAAAUCCGAGAGGAAGAGCUAAUCCCAAAAAACAGAUCUAAGUUCGGAUUGGAGUCUGCAACUCGACUUCAUGAAGCUGGAAUCGCUAGUAAUCGUAGAUCAGCAUGCUACGGUGAAUACGUUCCCGGGCCUUGUACACACCGCCCGUCACACCAUGAGAGUUGGUUAUACCAGAAGAAAUUGAGCUAACCUAACAAGGAAGCAGGUUUCUAAGGUAUGGUCGAUGAUUGGGGUGAAGUCGUAACAAGGUA